rnacentral:rRNA from 1 species
CCUACGGGUGGCAGCAGUCGAGAAUCAUUCACAAUGGGGGAAACCCUGAUGGUGCGACGCCGCGUGGGGGAAUGCAGGUCUUCGGAUUGUAAACCCCUGUUAUGUGGGAGCAAAUUAAAAAGUUAGUACCACAAGACGAAGAGACGGCUAACUCUGUGCCAGCAGCCGCGGUAAUACAGAGGUCUCAAGCGUUGUUCGGAAUCACUGGGCGUAAAGCGUGCGUAGGCUGUUUCGUAAGUCGUGUGUGAAAGGUGCGGGCUCAACCCGCGGACGGCACAUGAUACUGCGAGACUAGGGUAAUGGAGGGGGAACCGGAAUUCUCGGUGUAGCAGUGAAAUGCGUAGAUAUCGAGAGGAACACUCGUGGCGAAGGCGGGUUCCUGGACAUUAACUGACGCUGAGGCACGAAGGCCAGGGGAGCGAAAGGGAUUAGAUACCCCUGUAGUC